GCACAAGAGCCUUCUUAAGCGGCUCAAGGAGGAACAGACCCGCAAACUGGCGAUCCUGGCCGAGCAGUAUGACCAGUCCAUUUCAGAGAUGCUCAGCUCACAGGCGGUUGUUUCCAGCAUUUUGCUAUCACAACGCUUCCGUGAACACUUGGAGCACAUGUGCAAGUAUACCUGGGGGAUAGAUUCCUGCAAGUGUAAUUGCUGUGCCACAGGCUCCGGCUUGAUGAGACCCAGGAGGCAGAGUUUCAGGCCCUGCGGCAGCAGCUCCAACAGGAACUGGAGCUCCUUAAUGCUUACCAGAGCAAGAUCAAGAUCCGUACAGAGAGCCAGCAUGAGCGGGAGCUGAGGGAGCUGGAGCAGAGAGUAGCUCUGAGGCGGGCACUGCUAGAGCAACGGGUGGAAGAAGAACUGCUGGCCCUGCAGACAGGGCGUUCGGAACGCAUCCGGAGUUUGCUUGAGCGGCAGGCCCGUGAGAUCGAGGCCUUCGAUGCUGAGAGCAUGAGGCUGGGCUUCUCCAGCAUGGCUCUGGGGGGCAUUCCAGCUGAAGCUGCUGCCCAGGGCUAUCCUGCUCCACCCCCAGCCCCUGCCUGGCCCUCCCGUCCAGUUCCCCGUUCAGGGGCCCAUUGGAGCCAUGGCCCUCCUCCACCAGGCAUGCCCCCACCAGCUUGGCGUCAGCCAGCUCUGCUGGCUCCCCCAGGGCCUCCAAACUGGCUAGGACCCCCAACACAGAGUGGAACACCCCGCGGAGGGGCUCUGCUGCUGCUA
rnacentral:lncRNA from 1 species